UUGAACGCUGGCGGCAUGCUUUACACCUGCCAGUCGAACGGUAACAGGCCUUCGGGUGCUGACGAGUGGCGAACGGGUGAGUAAUGCAUCGGAACGUGCCCAGAGGUGGGGGAUAACGCAGCGAAAGCUGUGCUAAUACCGCAUGUGAUCUGAGGAUGAAAGCGGGGGACCAGGCAGCAAUGUUUGGCCUCGCGCCUUUGGAGCGGCCGAUGUCAGAUUAGGUAGUUGGUGGGGUAAAGGCCUACCAAGCCGACGAUCUGUAGCUGGUCUGAGAGGACGACCAGCCACACUGGGACUGAGACACGGCCCAGACUCCUACGGGAGGCAGCAGUGGGGAAUUUUGGACAAUGGGCGCAAGCCUGAUCCAGCAAUGCCGCGUGCGGGAAGAAGGCCUUCGGGUUGUAAACCGCUUUUGUACGGAACGAAAAGGCUCUGGCUAAUACCUGGGGCUGAUGACGGUACCGUAAGAAUAAGCACCGGCUAACUACGUG
rnacentral:rRNA from 1 species